rnacentral:rRNA from 1 species
UGACUGCGUACCUUUUGUAUAAUGGGUCAGCGACUUAUAUUCUGUAGCAAGGUUAACCGAAUAGGGGAGCCGGAGGGAAACCGAGUCUUAACCUUGGGCGUUAAGUUGCAGGGUAUAGACCCGAAACCCGGUGAUCUAGCCAUGGGCAGGUUGAAGGUUGGGUAACACUAACUGGAGGACCGAACCGACUAAUGUUGAAAAAUUAGCGGAUGACCUGUGGCUGGGGGUGAAAGGCCAAUCAAACCGGGAGAUAGCUGGUUCUCCCCGAAAGCUAUUUAGGUAGCGCCUCGUGAAUUCAUCUCCGGGGGUAGAGCACUGUUUCGGCUAGGGGGCCAUCCCGGCUUACCAACCCGAUGCAAACUGCGAAUACCGGAGAAUGUUAUCACGGGAGACACACGGCGGGUGCUAACGUCCGUCGUGAAGAGGGAAACAACCCAGACCGCCAGCUAAGGUCCCAAAGUCAUGGUUAAGUGGGAAACGAUGUGGGAAGGCCCAGACAGCCAGGAUGUUGGCUUAGAAGCAGCCAUCAUUUAAAGAAAGCGUAAUAGCUCACUGGUCGAGUCGGCCUGCGCGGAAGAUGUAACGGGGCUAAACCAUGCACCGAAGCUGCGGCAGCGACACUGUGUGUUGUUGGGUAGGGGAGCGUUCUGUAAGCCUGUGAAGGUGUGUCGUGAGGCAUGCUGGAGGUAUCAGAAGUGCGAAUGCUGACAUAAGUAACGAUAAAGCGGGUGAAAAGCCCGCUCGCCGGAAGACCAAGGGUUCCUGUCCAACGUUAAUCGGGGCAGGGUGAGUCGACCCCUAAGGCGAGGCCGAAAGGCGUAGUCGAUGGGAAACGGGUUAAUAUUCCCGUACUUGGUGUUACUGCGAAGGGGGGACGGAGAAGGCUAUGUUGGCCGGGCGACGGUUGUCCCGGUUUAAGCGUGUAGGUGUGUGUUCCAGGUAAAUCCGGUUCACUUUAACACUGAGGCGUGACGACGAGGCACUACGGUGCUGAAGCAACAAAUGCCCUGCUUCCAGGAAAAGCCUCUAAGCAUCAGGUAACAUCAAAUCGUACCCCAAACCGACACAGGUGGUCAGGUAGAGAAUACCAAGGCGCUUGAGAGAACUCGGGUGAAGGAACUAGGCAAAAUGGUGCCGUAACUUCGGGAGAAGGCACGCUGACACGUAGGUGAAGUGAUUUACUCAUGGAGCUGAAGUCAGUCGAAGAUACCAGCUGGCUGCAACUGUUUAUUAAAAACACAGCACUGUGCAAACACGAAAGUGGACGUAUACGGUGUGACGCCUGCCCGGUGCCGGAAGGUUAAUUGAUGGGGUCAGCGCAAGCGAAGCUCCUGAUCGAAGCCCCGGUAAACGGCGGCCGUAACUAUAACGGUCCUAAGGUAGCGAAAUUCCUUGUCGGGUAAGUUCCGACCUGCACGAAUGGCGUAAUGAUGGCCAGGCUGUCUCCACCCGAGACUCAGUGAAAUUGAACUCGCUGUGAAGAUGCAGUGUACCCGCGGCAAGACGGAAAGACCCCGUGAACCUUUACUAUAGCUUGACACUGAACAUUGAGCCUUGAUGUGUAGGAUAGGUGGGAGGCUUUGAAGUGUGGACGCCAGUCUGCAUGGAGCCGACCUUGAAAUACCACCCUUUAAUGUUUGAUGUUCUAACGUGGACCCGUUACCCGGGUUGCGGACAGUGUCUGGUGGGUAGUUUGACUGGGGCGGUCUCCUCCUAAAGAGUAACGGAGGAGCACGAAGGUUGGCUAAUCCUGGUCGGACAUCAGGAGGUUAGUGCAAUGGCAUAAGCCAGCUUGACUGCGAGCGUGACGGCGCGAGCAGGUGCGAAAGCAGGUCAUAGUGAUCCGGUGGUUCUGAAUGGAAGGGCCAUCGCUCAACGGAUAAAAGGUACUCCGGGGAUAACAGGCUGAUACCGCCCAAGAGUUCAUAUCGACGGCGGUGUUUGGCACCUCGAUGUCGGCUCAUCACAUCCUGGGGCUGAAGUAGGUCCCAAGGGUAUGGCUGUUCGCCAUUUAAAGUGGUACGCGAGCUGGGUUUAGAACGUCGUGAGACAGUUCGGUCCCUAUCUGCCGUGGGCGCUGGAGAACUGAGGGGGGCUGCUCCUAGUACGAGAGGACCGGAGUGGACGCAUCACUGGUGUUCGGGUUGUCAUGCCAAUGGCACUGCCCGGUAGCUAAAUGCGGAAGAGAUAAGUGCUGAAAGCAUCUAAGCACGAAACUUGCCCCGAGAUGAGUUCU